GCCUGCCUGUUGUUUUCCUGGGAAGACUGUGGGAAACAGGCCAUGAAUGUGAAGCUCGCUUCGAUUCUUGGAGCCGUGUCGUUCGGUUCUCGGUUAGAUGAAGCCUAAGCUGUCUAAUCACCAUCGGGCCGCCCAUCCCAGCCAGCGGCUCCCUCCGCGCUGCUGGAGUCCGACCAAGAGGUGAACGUACAGUCGGACGACCAGCGGCUCUCCGUUGUCAUGGACGCGGGUGUUCGUGUCCGAGGAGUCCUUGUAAGGUCCAGGGCGCCCAUCAGACGAGAGGUUUGUCUGCCAGGAUGUUUUAUUAAAAUGAUUUGUCUAAAAGAUCCGUUGUGUGAAAUGUUAGGUAACACCGUUAGGAAGGAGAAUAACCAUCAGACGCCCGCUUAAGACCUCGGCUGGACCGCCUCUCUGCUCACCGGUCCGCUAACACAGAGAAAGAAAAGGAUUCGACUCAUUAUGCAAAUUAUCUGCUUCCAGAUCUAUUAAAUAAAUCCCUCCUUAGUGCAGUUUCCUGGAGUCCAAUCCUGGGUGGUUGUGUUUAUUUAAAAUGCUAAAGGUUGAAUGGUACGUUCAGACCACAAGCAGCAGAGGCAGAAGAAGCAGCUAGUUUACAUGUUAGGU